AUUAAAUUGUGUGUACUCUUUAUUAGCUAAGCUAGAUCGCAGUACAAGAGUUUCCCAUAACAAGGAGUACAAAUAUUUCUCUUGUGAUGCCUCGUGUAGUACAUCACAAACACACGGUUCCAAUAUCUAUUUAAACCUAUGUCAUCAAAGCAACAUCACCAAAUAAACUCAUGGAACUUGCCAAGUUCAAAGCUCUGAGUUCAUGAAGUGGAGCUGAAAGAAGCUAUGGCAUCCAUCUCUUGGCGCAAGAGCAGGGGGUCGAUGAAGGUGUCCAGAUUCUCUCCCUCCAUCAUAUCUUCAAUGGAAAAUUGUACGUACGGAUUCGUCCAGAUCGGUCUCCACUGCCAAUCUGUUAACAGGGUUACACAUUGAUCAGCUAAGAAAGAAAAUGAUGUAAAAAUUGACUGAAUAUAUAAGAUAAAAAAAGAUGGUUAAUCCACAUGCACCUGUUCUGACCGUAGCUUUGACCGGCUGCUCUGUAAUCUCAACCUUUCGAUCUCAUAAAGUUUAGCGCAGAGUACUUUAAGUGC